ACAACGACUAUGAUAAGGAAUAGUAAAUUUCGACACUUUUUAGAGAGCUAGCGGCUGGUGUGAGCUAGCAAGUGAACAAAUUGAACUCGCCUUUGAGUUGCUUUUAGUGAAAAAGAUUAACUAGAAGCCGUGUUUUCGCGUUAAGAAGCUGGAGCUGAGUGCAGUGUCACUAAUUUGGGUGGUACCGCGGGAGUCAAAUUUACUCUCGUCCCUUUC
rnacentral:ncRNA from 1 species